UGUGUGUGUGUUGCAGCGUGCUCUCCACACCUCCAUGCCCUUCACGGUGUUCUGCCUCAGCGGCUUCUCGGCCGGCUGCCUCGGCCUCCUGCUGCCGGAGACUCUGAACAGACCAGCAGUCGACACUCUGGAGGAGCUGAGCAACGACACACACUGCAGAGUGCUGGAGAGCAAGGCUCUUUUGUACGAAGAUGAAAAACUGAAAUCGAACCACAAGUGAGGCCUUCAUCACAUGAUUCCUUAUGAAGCUGCUGCACCAGAGAGACGGUUUUGUAAUUACCUCGAAGGACUGAUCACCACGUUCUCGUCUCUGAACACACACCGUCAGGGAGCUGCUCUGCCUCCAGGGCGCAGGUGUGAUCAUCUGCUCCUCUUGUGUGUGACUCCACGGGAAAAACACAGUCGCCAAACUGCCUUUUGUAUUCUAUUUCCUGAAAAUUAACAAGGUGUUUGUGCCUUACCUGGAGGUACACCGGGCGACAAAGACACGUAUGUGACUUUAAUUACAUUCCAGAGAUGCCAGAGAAGUGGGAAAUCCAACUUGCUACUCGCAGGUUUUUCAAAAUAAAGUUUAGCGACACGAUGCAUUCACAAACGCUAAACAUUCCCGAACGUACAGUCAGGUUAGAUUUAUAGGGACCGCAAUCAUUCUUCAGGGGAACGAUUCAAUCCUUCUCUCGUGUCUCCGUCCUGAACGUCCUAGAGAGUGGAAACAAACGUAACGAUACACAGACUUUCCAAUAUUUCAUUUUCUUACGGUCUGACCUGCUGAUUCCCGUCUACCUUCUUUCUAUGAACUAUGACUGACCAGCAUUUGUUGUAGCGUUCCUUUUAUGGAAGUUUAAAUCGAAUGACAUUUUAUAUUUUGACUACUAAAUAAUAAUGUGUCAACCUUUUCUCAUUGACUUAAGGAGUUAAUGAUUUCUGGAAGUCUGAUCUGCCAAUUGCCUUUCCAUGCACAAAUAAACACAAAUGUAUAUGUACCUUUUUCUUUCGUGAAACAUUCAAAUCUAAUUUAAUUUUUUUUACAUCAUAAAGCAGUGACUAUUGAAUAACAAUUUCUCAAAAUCUGCACAAACGUACAGGAACUGUUCCACUCAAACUCAUCUCCAAACUAAAAAGUGCUGCAGGUUUUUCUUAAAGAGGUCCUGUUAUGCUCUCUGGGGUUUCCUCUCUGCGUGUGUGUCAGUGCAUGUGAAUGGUCUGCAAAGGCUAAAAUGCCAAUGUUUCUCUCGAAGGUUAAUGCAUGACCAAAAAGCUAAGAGAGUUUCCACUGCACUAAAGUUUACAUAACUCUUCAGUUAGAAAUAAUAAUAACUGCCUAAUUUGGUUUAAUUUCAGGGUUUUCUGUCGCUUAUCGCAUUCUUAGUGCAUUUAUUUGAUAAGAGUAAAAACACUGGAGAGAAAACAUUCACCAGCCUUAAAUUGAAUGCUUGUAACAAGAAAAAUCUUUAUUAAACACGACGAUAAUUAACGAGCAAAGAGAGUCACAUGUAGCGACAGCAAGCAGAUGUUUAAUAUAGUACAUUUGCUCAAUUCCUUAUAAGUGUUUGAGCUGUAAUCAUGCAGCACUACAGACUGAGGGUGAAAUGCAUGCUGGGACAUAUUUUUGUAAGUCCGACGGGACCAGUUGAAUUUACGAUGAUUCAUAUUUAUUUAUUUCCUCUUAUGUUCUCUAUGUCCGGAUUUCGAUACCAAGAAUUCUGUAAUCAGUUAAAUUACCUAAACACACAUUUCCCUGUAACAGAGGGAAGAAGUUUGCACACUGGUUUUACCACAAAGCAGGAAAUGCUGUAAAGUGAAUGUGGUCAUUUCAGAUUUAAAUCCACUUUUUUUUUUAUGUGUUCCUCAUAACCUCGUGUGCCUUCCUCUUUACCUCUAAAGUUAAGAUAUCAGAUGUAGUGUUCAAAAUAAAUAUAUUCUAUAAGAUAUUGAGAUGCCAAUUUUGUAUCGUGUAUGCAAUCAUAGUAUUCCAAUGUGUACUGUGUCUCUGGGUACGAUCUAUGUAAACAGUAAACAGUUGAAAACAUAA